UCUUCAAGAAUGAUAACUUUUUCAAAAACCUCUUGGGAGAAAAAAGUUGGAUGAAAUGAAGA
rfam:Nematostella vectensis strain CH2 x CH6 NEMVEscaffold_49_Cont7685, whole genome shotgun sequence.